rnacentral:lncRNA from 1 species
AUUCUAUUUUAAAAAAAAUUAACUACCUUUUUAAUCUUUUUGUAUUCUAUUUUCUUUUAAUUUAUUAUACAAUUAUAAAAAAAGACCUCUAACACUAGCUUGCUCUAUUCUUUUUCUAUUCUAUCUGUUUUCUUUUUAUUUAUUAUAUUAUUUAAAAGCCCUUGCUACGUAUACUGUGUUUAGGCUAACUGAGACUUGUUAUAGCACUUAUAUAUCAUUGCUCUUUUGUUGUUCUUGAUUGCUUCCAUUGUCCUCAUUUGUAAGUCGCUUUGGAUAAAAGCGUCUGCUAAAUGACUAAAUGUAAAUGUACAUGUAAAUGUAUAAUAUUAAUGUAUGUUGAACACUCUUACAGUGUAAUUGAACUGCAAUUGUAAUGUCACCAUAAUACAUUUGAAGUCCAUUAUACAUUUCAAAACUUAUAUACAAGAAUUGAUAAUUAAAGUGUAUUUAAGUUUACUUGGAAUAUUUCCACUUUAGCACAAACAAGUGUAUUUAAUACAAAUUAAGUUGAACUUCACCACUGCUUUUGAACAAAUAAAAUGCAUUUAAGACUAAAUUAGUUGUUCCAAUUUAAGAGACUUUAGGUAUACCAAUUUAUAGCGUGCCAAAAAUACAUUUAGUUAUACCAAAGUACAUACUUUUCAUUAUUUAUUGCCUAACAGAUUUAUAACUUAUGCUGCACCGUGAUUUCCUAUUGCACGUGUCAAAAGAUUAUUUUGAAGGCAGCUGACGUUAUUUGCAGCUUUUCUCCUUUUACUCAAUUCCUGCUCAUCAAUAAGGUGAGAACCAGACCCGUUAACUCAAAUUGUAAAAAAGGCCCCCUUGUGGCCGCUAAGCAUCAGACACUUUACUGUGACUCUCUCUCUCCUACUGGAAGACGCCUCGCUUCACCUGGACUCUUAGCCAAUCACAAGUUGACUCAGGAUCGCUCCACGCUGGUAGCAUUCUGUCUGAGACUUUUGCCAGUAGUGUACGCUAACUGCACGGGCUUACAACCCGCCUUGAUACAACUGCUUUAUUCUGUGUGCGUCUUUACAAAACCACACCCAUCACUGUACAUAUUCAAUCAUGCAGUUGUAAAUUCAAUAAAUACUGCCAAUGAAGAAAUCUUGCGUGAUUCUGACCGAUCACCCGCUGUGAGCUCUACCUAGCGAUCCACAAACUAUCUAAAUCAAAGAAGCCAGUCCUCUUCUGCACAAAGUGGUCCUUCGAGCCGGAUCCAGAGCCUGCAGCGGAGCAAGAUGUCUACCACCUCGGACAUAGAGUCUAGUGCACGAUCCAGGAGGCAGCGGUCCCUCCCUAACUACUUGCAAGAUUAUGACUUGUCUGAUCUCCCGACCAGAUCUCAAACCAAGAAGCCUUCUGAGUCACAGUCCAGAGAGCAGCUAGACGAAGAGGACCACAGCAGACCCGAUUCACGCUCUGCA